rnacentral:misc_RNA from 1 species
GAUGAAGAACGCAGCGAAUUGCGAUAAGUAAUGUGAAUUGCAGAAUUCAGUGAAUCAUCGAAUCUUUGAACGCAUCUUGCGCUCCUUGGUAUUCUGAGGAGCAUGCCUGUUUGAGUGUCAUUAAAUUCUCAACUACACUGACUUUGAAUUGGUGUGGCUUGGAUUUGGGGGGAAAAUUGUUGUGGGCUUUUUGUAUAGUCUGCUCCCCUGAAAUUGAUUAGCGGUACCUUUGUGGAACUGUCUACAGGUGUGAUAAUUAUCUACAUCUUAGACAUCUGCUGGAAUGCUGCUUUCUAAACCUUACUUGUAUUGACAAUCUUGACCUCAAAUCAGGUAGGACUACCCGCUGAACUUAAGCAUAUCAAUAAGCGGAGGA